rnacentral:rRNA from 1 species
ACUAACAGGAUUCCCCUAGUAACUGCGAGUGAAGCGGGAAAAGCUCAAAUUUAAAAUCUGGCAGUCUCUGAUUGUCCGAGUUGUAAUCUARAGAAGUAAUGCCCGUGCUGGACCGUGUAUAAGUCUCCUGGGAUGGGGCGUCAUAGAGGGUGAGAAUCCCGUCUUUGACACGGACUACCAGUGUAUUGUGGUAUGCUCUCAAAGAGUCGAGUUGUUUGGGAAUGCAGCUCAAAAUGGGUGGUAAAUUCCAUCUAAAGCUAAAUAUUGGCGAGAGACCGAUAGCGAACAAGUACCGUGAGGGAAAGAUGAAAAGAACUUUGGAAAGAGAGUUAAACAGUACGUGAAAUUGCUGAAAGGGAAACGCUUGAAGUCAGUCGCGUUGGCCAGGGAUCAGCCUUGCUUUUGCAUGGUGUACUUUCUGGUUGAUGGGUCAGCAUCAAUUUUGACCGCUGGAAAAGGGCCUGGGGAAUGUGGCAGCUUCGGCUGUGUUAUAGCCCCUAGUCACAUACGGCGGUUGGGAUUGAGGAACUCAGCACGCCGCAAGGCCGGGUUUCGACCACGUUCGUGCUUAGGAUGCUGGCAUAAUGGCUUUAAGCGACCCGUCUUGAAACACGGACCAAGGAGUCUAACAUGCCUGCGAGUAUUUGGGUGAAAAACCCGAGUGCGUAAUGAAAGUGAAAGUUGAGAUCCCUGUCGUGGGGAGCAUCGACGCCCGGACCAGAACUUUUGGGACGGAUCCGCGGUGGAGCAUGUAUGUUGGGACCCGAAAGAUGGUGAACUAUGCCUGAAUAGGGUGAAGCCAGAGGAAACUCUGGUGGAGGCUCGUAGCGAUUCUGACGUGCAAAUCGAUCGUCAAAUUUGGGUAUAGGGGCGAAAGACUAAUCG